AGAGUGUGGUCUCUAGACCAGCAUGAUUAGCAUCACUUAGGAACUUGAGAAAAACGCAAAUUCUUGGGCUUUACUACAGACCUACUUACUGAAUCAGAAGCUUAGGGGUGGCACAGUGGUGAAGAAUCCACUUGUUAAUGCAGGAGAUACCCUGGGUCAGGAAGAUCCCUGAAGAAGGAAGUGGCAACUCACUCCAGUAUUCUUGCUUGAAAGAUUCCAUGGACAGAAGAGCCUGGCAGGGUCACAGAGCCAUGGACUGGGGUCACAAGAGAGUCAAGACUCGACUGAACAGCAGCAGCAUGGCAGAACCUAACACGAGGAUAAUUAUCCUCCAAUUAAAAGUAAAUAAAAAGGAAAGCCCUCCAAUUGAUUUUGAUUUUGAAGAUUGAGAACCGUUGCCAUAUAUUAACUAUAGUUCUCAACCUUGUUCCCUCAUGGCCACUGUAAUUCCUAACAUAGUGUCCCAAACUUAGUAGAUACUUGAUUAUUUGACUUGAGAGCACAGGUAUACUUUGUCAGGGCCUGCAGCACCUGUAAGACAUCAUCCAUCUGGUAAGAGACUACGUGGGAAGAAGAGACUAAAAUGUUUGAGAUUCUUUUCUUUCCCUCUUUUAUAACACAGCUGCUUGGGAAGUCUGAACAAAAAGGCCCAUAAAGAAUGGGCCAACAAAAGAAUAAAGA
ensembl:lncRNA